rnacentral:tRNA from 1 species
CAAAAUAUAGUUUAAUAAAAUACUAAUUUUGGGUAUUAGAGAUAUUAUAAAAUAAUUAUUUUGA